GCAAUUAGCCCCUCCCAACAAAACACGCUGAUCCUGGCGUUACUGGGUCGGGUCGCGGGUCAAACAUCAAAACGGCGCCGUUUUGGCCACUGAUGCUAAGGCCCAAAACGACGUCGUUUUAUACCCAAUAUAAAUACUAUAAAAAAACAAAAAAUAAUGUUUAAACCCACCUUUUAAAAAAAUUCAGAGAGCUUUCAAACUCUCUCUCUAACAGCCUCAAAUCCGGCCAAUAGGGCCACUGUCUGUGUUGCCGUGGCUCCAUCGUAGGCGGUGAUCGAAGCAACGCGGAGAUCGGAUUUUCAACCCGAUUCAAAAAAUACUGGAAGGCCUAGCCUUCUGGGCCCUAAGACCGAAAGAAGAAGAAGAAGCCACGCCCUCUCCCGUCCCAAUUUUGGUGACCGAACAAGGCUCCGGCGACGGGCUUUGCUGGCGACCUCAGGUAGCGGACGCAUAGAUGGCCGGUGACAGGCAUGCGGCGGUAGUGUCAGAGGAGGCCACGCGCAGAUUGAAGGGUGGCGACUAACUGCAUGUGGCUAGGGUUGGCUGCUGCUGAAACUUUUUUAGUUUGUGGACCAUUAGGUUUUUUAAUUUUUGGGUCUGUUGGGUUAGAUUUAAUUUUGGGCUGGCAUUUUGGGUUUGUAAAUGGACAUUUGUUUAAUUUGAGUGUUGGGCCCGGGCAAAAUUUGGGUCUUACAACCACAUUUGUUCCA